rnacentral:rRNA from 2 species
UGGGGAAUAUUGCACAAUGGGCGAAAGCCUGAUGCAGCGACGCCGCGUGAGGGAUGACGGCCUUCGGGUUGUAAACCUCUUUCAGCAGGGACGAAGCGCAAGUGACGGUACCUGCAGAAGAAGCACCGGCUAACUACGUGCCAGCAGCCGCGGUAAUACGUAGGGUGCAAGCGUUGUCCGGAAUUACCGGGCGUAAAGAGUUCGUAGGCGGUUUGUCGCGUCGUUUGUGAAAACCAGCAGCUCAACUGCUGGCUUGCAGGCGAUACGGGCAGACUUGAGUACUGCAGGGGAGACUGGAAUUCCUGGUGUAGCGGUGAAAUGCGCAGAUAUCAGGAGGAACACCGGUGGCGAAGGCGGGUCUCUGGGCAGUAACUGACGCUGAGGAACGAAAGCGUGGGUAGCGAACAGG